rnacentral:rRNA from 1 species
AUUGAACGCUGGCGGCAGGCCUAACACAUGCAAGUCGAGCGAGCGGCGGACGGGUGAGUAAUGUGUGGGAAACUGCCCGAUGGAGGGGGAUAAAUACUGGGAACGGUAGCUAAUACCGCAUACCAUCAGAUCUGCCCAGAUGGGAUUAGCUAGUAGGUGGGGUAACGGCUCACCCAGGCGACGAUCCCUAGCUGGUCUGAGAGGAUGACCAGCCACACUGGAACUGAGACACGGUCCAGACUCCUACGGGAGGCAGCAGUGGGGAAUAUUGCACAAUGGGCGCAAGCCUGAUGCAGCCAUGCCGCGUGUGUGAAGAAGGCCUUCGGGUUGUAAAGCACUUUCAGCGGGGAGGCGGUACCCGCAGAAGAAGCACCGGCUAACUCCGUGCCAGCAGCCGCGGUAAUUC